rnacentral:rRNA from 1 species
AACGAACGCUGGCGGCAUGCCUAACACAUGCAAGUCGAACGGGACGGUCCUGUCUAUUUGCGCUCGGCUACGUAACACCUGGGAACCAACCCGUGGGUUCGCUAUACCUCCCUGAGAGGGGACCUAAGACCGGUUAAGCUAUUCCGGGCAAGGAGUUGUCGCUUUGGGAUGGGCUCGCGGUGGAUUAGCUUGUUGGUAAGGUAGGGGCCUACCAUGACUAGGUUGGGUAGCUGGUCUGUUAUGAUGGCCUGCCACAUUGGGACGGAGCUACGGCCCAGACUCCUACGGGAGGCAGCAGUGGAGAAGAUUGCACAAGGGGCGGAAGCCUGAUGCAGCAACGCCGCGUGCGGGAUGACGGCCAUCGGGUUGGAUACCGCUUUCGCCUGUGACGAAGCGAGAGUGACGGUAAUGGGUAAAGAAGCACCGGCUAACUACGUG